CCCAGACUCCUACGGGAGGCAGCAGUGGGGAAUAUUGGACAAUGGGGGGAACCCUGAUCCAGCGACGCCGCGUGAGUGAAGAAGUAUUUCGGUAUGUAAAGCUCUAUCAGCAGGGAAGAAAAUGACGGUACCUGACUAAGAAGCCCCGGCUAACUACGUGCCAGCAGCCGCGGUAAUACGUAGGGGGCAAGCGUUAUCCGGAUUUACUGGGUGUAAAGGGAGCGUAGACGGCGGUGCAAGCCAGAUGUGAAAGCCCGGGGCUCAACCCCGGGACUGCAUUUGGAACUGUGCUGCUAGAGUGUCGGAGAGGCAGGCGGAAUUCCUAGUGUAGCGGUGAAAUGCGUAGAUAUACGGAGGAACACCAGUGGCGAAGGCGGAUUGCUGGACAGUAACUGACGCUGAGGCGCGAAAGCGUGGGGAGCAAACAGGAUUAGAUACCCGGGUAA
rnacentral:rRNA from 1 species